rnacentral:lncRNA from 1 species
GUCGUGUUAGUACAAAUUGUGUAGAUAUAAAUACAAGCAUACAUCGUGUCGAAAACAAUUGGAAUCCCUAGAACCUUUUCAGAGAAGCAAGUAGUGUCUAUCCGGUAAACAUUGAAAUUUCAUAACCACAAAUACCUGUUAAUUAAUGUUUAAUGGAAUAACAAGAUUACUGUGAAUGACUAUCUAAAUAAAGGCAACAGUAGUAUUCCGCUGAUCAAAAGUAAAAAAUCGAUUGAGUAAAAACAAAUCCAGAUUGCAAACUAAAACCGAGCGAAAUAACCGGAACGAGAAGAACACUGAAGUGCAACAAAAAUAAACGCUAAUGGUACUAAAUUAAUCGUAUAAAGCAACUGUCUAUAAUGUUAUGUUCUUGUGCAAAAGAAUCACCAGUGCAAUUCGAAAAAAAAAGUUAAAAUGGUCAAAAAGAGUACGAAGUUGGGGAGCAUUUAGGACUCUAAUUUAGGAAUAAUUUUGUGUAAUACCGCUAAAAUAAUCUAUUACUAGGGCAGACAAUUUCAAUUCGUUUCAACCCAGGAGAGCAGACUACCAGGC